UUAAAAAAGAUAAGCUAA
rnacentral:tRNA from 1 species